rnacentral:rRNA from 1 species
AGUGAACGCUGGCGGUAGGCCUAACACAUGCAAGUCGAACGGCAGAACCGAGGAGCUUGCUCCUUGGGUGCCGAGUGGCGGACGGGGGAGGAAUACGUCGGAAACUACUCCGUCGUGGGGGAUAACGUCGGGAAACGUACGCUAAUCCCGCAUACGACCGACGCGUGAAAGCAGGGGAUCAUGGGCCCUUGCGCGCUGCAAUGAGGCGAUGUCGGAUUGGCUGGUGGGCGGGGUAAGGGCCCACCAAGGCGACGAGCGGUAGCUGGUCUGAGGGGACGAUCAGCCACACUGGGACUGGGCCACGGUCCAGACUCCUACGGGAGGCAGCAGUGGGGAAUAUUGGACAAUGGGCGCAAGCCUGAUCCAGCCAUACCGCGUGGGUGAAGAAGGCCUUCGGGUUGUAAAGCCCUUUUGUUGGGAAAAAAAUCCAUCUGGUUAAUACCCGGAUGGGAUGACGGUACCCAAAGAAUAAGCACCGGCUAACUUCGUGCCAGCCGCCGCCGUAA